ACCGAUCAAGCAAGCGGUGGGUGAGAGUGGACACCCAUUAAGUCACCAUUUUAUAGGCAACAACCUUAUACCCACCUUAUAGACCGGCUUCGUGAAUGAGGCGUACUAGCGGUAAGACGACUUUGUUCUUAUAUAUAUAUAUAUAUAUAAUUAUUAAAUCAUAAUAAUAUAAGUAUAAGGGUUGAAUUUUAACUUUUAAAAUUCUAAGGGUUGGAACUAAAGUUUUAACAUGACUUUACUUGUUCCAAAACUUGAGGGCAAGUUUUGUAAACUUUCAAAACUUUUCAUUUCUUGUAACUUAUGAGUUUAAUAGAGUAAUAAAAUGAAGACUCUUCAUUUUUCUAACUCUUGUGUUCUUUUAAUGGUUUUUUUUUAAUUCAAGUGACUUUUGGUUUUCCAUAACUUGAGGACAAGUUAUGGACUCCAUUAAAACACAUUAUGAUCAAGAAUUAAACUACCACAUAGGUUACAAAUAAUUCCUAUGAUCAUCUAAACAUCAUAAGAUCAAGAACAUGAACAUGAACACUUUCAUGAAUAAAAGUUACACUUAAAACUUUGUAAUUUUGAGAACCAGUUGUUGUAAAUGGAUUAGCAAAGACAUUACGUUACACUUAAAACUUUGUAAUUUUGAGAACCAGUUGUUGUAAAUGGAUUAGCAAAGACAUUACACAAUCUAAAACAAGUUUUGAAGUACCAAAACAGUUUAGGGUAAUGUUUCUAGUCCAUUUCCAGCAACUAAAGUCGAAAAUCUGCACUCUGUGGCUUCUACUCGCCGAGUGCAUGAACCUACUCGGCGAGUAGGUUGAAGAUACACGUGAACUCGGCGAGUCUCCCCAUGGACUCGGCGAGUUCAUCAGGCAGACAACAAGUUUUUCGACUUUUUUCAACUUUUAAGCACAAAUAACAAACAAACAAGCCUAGGCUCUGAUACCACUGAUGGGUUUUGAGCAUUCUAACACUUCCUAAGUGUACAUGCAACCCUAAUAACCUUGGAUCUAUGUUUGUCUAAUUAUCAUGCAAAGUUGAAUUCCAAGGUUAUAUUCCUAUCUAGCAUACAUGGGGAACAAUUU
rnacentral:lncRNA from 1 species